rnacentral:tRNA from 1 species
GGUUGGUUAGCUCAGUUGGUUAGAGCGUCGUACUAAUAAUGCGAAGGUCAUGAGUUCGACCCUCAUACUGACCA